GGUCUAUGUACUAUGGAGUACUGUUGUAGGUCUAUGUGUGAUUAUUCAACAUCCCGCUUGUCGGAUCAUUGGCGCUAACCAUUAAUCCCAAAAACUCGAGCUGUUAGAAAUAUAUAACCAAUUCACUUAAAGCGUACAGAUACAACACCCACGGAUCUUGAUUGUGACUCGGCCCAACCAGCCACACGCCACUUCGAACAUGACUCGACCUACCCAACCUCACGCCAUUUCGAACAUGACUCGACCCAACAUGGCCACAUAUUUGCAGCAUGCGAGAAUCGAAUCCGUGACCUCUGGCUCUGAAACUACUUGUCGGAUCAUUGGCGCUAACCAUUAAUUUCAAAAGCUCGAGCUGUUAGAAAUACACAAUCAAUUCACUUAAAGCGUACAGAUACAACGCCCGCGGGCCUCGAUUGUGACUCGGCCCAACCAGCCUCACGCCACUUCGAACAUGACUCGACCCACUCAGCCUCACGCCAUUUUGAACAUAAGUCGGCCCAACAUGGCCCCCUGCCACAGGACAGGAUGCUGGCCCAUUUAAGCCAGC
rnacentral:lncRNA from 1 species